UCAUUGUAACGCCAUCUAAUCCAGAUGAAACC
rnacentral:piRNA from 1 species